GAUGAAGAACGCAGUGAACGUGCGAAACGUAAUGUGAAUUGCAGAAUUCAGUGAAUCAUCGAAUCUUUGAACGCACCUUGCACCCUUUGGCAUUCCGAAGGGUAUGCUCGUUUGAGUGUCAUUGUACUCUCACACUCCCGAUGCUUUGGAUCGGGAGCGGUGGACUUGGGUGUUGCUGCUUACCGUGGCUCGCCUUAAAUGGAGUAGUGCAACUCUUGGUUGGACAUAGUACGGCGUGAUAAGUGUCUUCGCCGGCGCCUCACUUUGUUGAGGGUGGCCGAUCGGGAGCUCUGUGCUUCAAACCGUCUUCGGACAACAACUGACAACUUGACCUCAAAUCGAGUAGGACUACCCGCUGAACUUAAGCAUAUCAAUAAGCGGAGGA
rnacentral:misc_RNA from 1 species